GGGGAAUCUUAGACAAUGGGGGAAACCCUGAUCUAGCCAUGCCGUGUGAUCGAUGAAGGCCUUAGGGUUGUAAAGAUCUUUCAGUGGGGAAGAUAAUGACUGUACCCACAGAAGAAGCCCCGGCUAACUCCGUGCCAGCAGCCGCGGUAAUACGGAGGGGGCUAGCGUUGUUCGGAAUUACUGGGCGUAAAGCGCACGUAGGCGGAUCAGAAAGUCAGAGGUGAAAUCCCAGGGCUCAACCUUGGAACUGCCUUUGAAACUCCCGAUCUUGAGGUCGAGAGAGGUGAGUGGAAUUCCGAGUGUAGAGGUGAAAUUCGUAGAUAUUCGGAGGAACACCAGUGGCGAAGGCGGCUCACUGGCUCGAUACUGACGCUGAGGGGCGAAAGCGUGGGGAGCAAAC
rnacentral:rRNA from 1 species